UUAACUUUUGUAUUCACGGUGCGCUUGAAUUGGACUUAAUUAAGAGUCGGAUGUAACUCACAUAUUUUCCUUUAUUAUUGUUCCUCGUAUUAAACAGAAUAUUUUCAGCAAAAAAAAAGUUGGUCAUAGACGGUGACUUUUCCGAGUUAGAGCACUUCGAA